rnacentral:snoRNA from 1 species
AGGUCACUUCAAAGAGGGCUCGUGUGGCUGAAACACCAGCGGCUCUUAACGCGGUGACCGCAUAGUGAAAUCCUCUGCAGGAUGCUGUGGACACUCGGUGUGUGCUAUGGUCUAUUAAUGAGGAGAUAAA